UGCAAAUUAUUGUUAACUUAAUUUCUACCAAAUUACACGUUAUGGAGACAAUAGUUAUAACUCAAAAACAAUUUUUUAAACGGGUAAGGAGAAUCAUUUAGGAUGCCUUUUACUCAAUCAUUUAGCUAGCUAGCUACAGAAGAACAACAUCCUUGGGAAUAAUAUACUAAAAUUGUGCUGUCCUUUUCCUUAUAGAAGGAGGAAUAGAAAGAAUAGCUUGACCAAAUUUAAAAAUUAGGUGAAGUGUAGAAAACAAUGAGAAAUUAAAUUAAGAAACAAGGAAAUAUGAUAAGCUACCAGUCGUACCCUUGCAUGGUCAGUCAUGCAAAUUUAUAUAUACUAUGAUAGUAUUAAAUGAAAUCCCAUGAGAGAGAGAGGAAGAUUAUCCCUUCGUUACAAAAUCAUAUUGAAGAAAUAAAUAUCAGAAUCGGUUCUAAUGAGGUCAUACUUCAUCACAUAUCAUAUUUUAUAGCAUAACUUCAAAUAUGAGAACCAUCUAAUAUAUAAGGUCUUACACAAAGCUAGGGCUUAUAGCCUAGAGGUAUCAAGAUACUAAGAAAAUGUGUUCCUCCUCAUGAGAUUGAGGGUUCUGUCAGAAAUGAGAAUGAUAUAUAGUAAAUGAGAAUGAUAUAUAGUGUAGGGACUAGUAUGUAAAGUGGUGUCCUAUAUAAACACCAUUCUUGUAACCCUAAUUCUUUGAUGAACAAUACAAUCUCAAUACAAUUCAACCCAAUUACUGUGUUUGUUCUACACUAGACAACAGGUUCAAGUUCUAUGGUGGACAAAUGUGCCAGUAAAUAAGAAAAAGAAAAAAACUACUUAAUGAUUCUUUGUAUCUAAAGUGAGUGUUUGAAAGAAAUAUGAUCGAUCAAGUUUUAACUAGAUUAGUUAAAAUGGCUGAAGCAGUGAUCGCGGAAUGAUAAGGUUAUUUUCCUGCUGUACUUUUUUGGAUCCCUUUGUUCUAUUUGUGCCUUUUUAGUAUAGACUACUACAUAAUUUCAGGCUUGUUGGGAAAACUGAUAAACCAAUACCGAUACUUCUGCAUUUCAAGCUAAAGCCUGCAGCAACUAUAUGUUAAUCACAUAAUUUUCUUUAAUAAAACUUAAGCUUCUAAUCCAAUUUAUUUGCAUGGAAGUCUGGUUGUAUUAUCUGGAUACGUGUACCAAUCCCACAAAGAGAUAGGGGCGUCUUUGUGAAUUUUUUUUUUUUUACACAGUUCGAGCUCGAAGU
rnacentral:lncRNA from 1 species